ACGUUUACUUUGCUUCACUUUUCGUCGCCUCGUCAAUUGUCAUUCGUGACAAUAUCGUCAAUGAUAAACGGAUUCCUACUGGAUCGCCUCUCUUGGAUUCCUCAGCACGCUGUUCAGAAGCCUCUCUCCGCUGGUAUGCAGGUUCUGCUUCCUCGGGCACACCACGUGUAUUGACCCUUGCAUAAUGCCCUUAUUAAAUGCUUCAAAAAAGACGAACCAAUCAUUCCAGCUCCACAGGAGGAACUGGGUGCAGAGCCACCUGCACACAUUAGCAUUGCUGAAACGAAGUCUUUUGCAAUACUGACAUGGUGCUCCUUAUCGGAAGAGGAGCUAACCUGGGAUGAGUAAACACUGAUAAACAAA